AUGGUCCUUCUUGCAUUACCCUCCCGCAAGGCCCCAACCACCAAGGCAACGAAGCCGAAGAGUGUAGAGGUUCGGUUACACAGGCUUGAAGUUGACUUCCUGCGCAAGAUCCCCAACGGCUUUAGAGACCAGAUGGGCCAGAUGCGUGGUUGGCCUUCUCGCGAAAUGUGGGCCAGAUGGCAUUUCCGUUAUUACGUUACGGGGUUCCACAGCGCAGGAAACGUGAUAAUCCUUCCGAGACCGGUACCGCAGCUGGAAACUUUCCUUUCCAAGAACCAAAGAACCCCCAACGGCUACUUUGUGCCGCCGCCGCCGCCUCAACCACAGCCGCCCGCUUCUAUAAAGCUUCAGCUGGAACAGCAAGAAGUCCCCAUGGCGACCAGGCAUAACCAGCACGCGGCUGCCGCUCCGCAGCCGGCCAACAGAGGUGAGCCGCCCGCCCGCCCGCCGAAUCUCUCUUUCUCGCCGCGCCGCGCGGGGGACGACCGCGCUAGGGGUGCCGCAGUACCGGCAGGGAAGCAGAAGGACGCCGCCGCCGGCGGCGGCCGCCCCGGCGCGGGAGGAAACAGGCGGGUCCUCGGGGACAUCGGCAACGUCGUCCACGCCCACGUCCUCGGCGGCAAGAUCCAGCUGCCGGCGGGGAUCAAUCGGCCUAUCACCCGGAGCUUCGGCGCUCAGCUCCUGAAGAAGGCCCAGGCCGAUCCAUCUAAGAACGGCGUACCUGUUCCUCCAGCAGCGCGUGCCGCCCCGAAGCCGGUGGCCAAGAAGGUCCCUGUCAAGCUCAAGCCCGCCGCCCCUCGCCCUGAGCCGGCCGCCAAGAUCGCCACCGGCUCCGACGAAAACAGGAAGCCAUCAGAGGUCGCCGGCGGCGGCUCUGCCCCCAGGAAGAAGGUCGUCCACACCCUCACGACCGUGCUCAACCAUCGGUCCAAGGUGAGCGACCCGGCCCAUCCAACCAACCCCUCUGUUGUCCUAAACUCUGCUCAUCCCAGUGCCUUGACUCUGCUCGCGUGUUCUUGUGAAUGGCAGGAGGCCUCAAUCGAUGACAUCGACAAGCUGGACGGCGACAACGAGCUCGCCGUCGUCGACUACAUCGACGACAUCUACAGAUACUACAAGGAGGCACAGCACGAGUGCCGGCCGAUAGAUUACAUGGGCAUCCAGCCCGAGAUCAACCCCAAGAUGAGGGCAAUCCUGAUAGACUGGCUAGUGGAAGUGGGCCAUAAAUUCGAGCUCAUGCCCGAGAGCAUGUACUUGACAAUGUACGUCAUCGACAGGUUCCUCUCCUUACAGGCGGUGCCUCGGCGGGAGCUGCAGCUCGUCGGCAUGGCUGCCAUGCUAGAUCUGGGCGCCCGAGAUCACCUGCUCGUGUCUGUCUGUCUGUCGGUAGACGAUUUCAUAUCCAUAGCCGACUACUCGUACUCUCGGCAGCAGAUCCUGUCCAUGGAGAAGAACAUACUCAACAGCAUGGCGUGGAACCUCACCGUGCCCACCCCGUACGUCUUCCUGGUGCGGUUCGCCAAGGCCGCGGGGAGCGGCGACAAGGAGCUUGAGCAUAUGAUCUUCUUCUUCGCCGAGAUGGCGCUCAUGGAGUACGGGCUGGUCACCGUGCGCCCCUCGCUGGUGGCGGCGUCUGCCGUGUACGCCGCCCGGUGCACGCUGAAAAGAAGCCCCGUCUGGACGGAAACCCUCAAGCACCACACCGGAUUCGCUGAACCCCAGCUCCUGGAGCCUGCCAAGGUGCUGGUCAUGGCGCACGCGGCUGCUCCGGAGUGCAAGCUCAAGGCCAUCUACAAGAAGUACUCCUGUGAGCAGUAUGGGCGCGUGUCUCUGCGCCCUCCGGCAGUGGCCGCUCCUCAGCGCCUGGCCUAG
rnacentral:rRNA from 1 species